rnacentral:RNase_P_RNA from 1 species
GAUGAUCGGGUAAUCGCCCACCCUAGGUGGGAGGAAAGUCCGAACACCAACGAGCACCGUGCUUCCUAACGGGAAGAUCCCGAGUCUUCGGGAUAGCCAGUGCCACAGAAAAUAGACUACCUUCCCGAUUCGUUGGGAGGGAAAAGGUGAAAAGGUGAAGUAAGAGCUCACCGCUCCGGUGGUAACAUUCGGAGGCAGGGCAAACCUCACGGGGUGCAAGCUCAUGCAGGCUGUGCGCCGCUCGUCGCAAUACAGCCGGGUAGAGUGCUCGAGCCCCAAAGUGAUUUGGGGACCAGAUAAAUGAUUACCAUCCCGAUACCGUCGGGAUACAGAAUUCGGCUUACAGAUCAUCCC